AGCAGCCGCGGUAAUUCCAGCUCCAAUAGCGUAUAUUAAAGUUGUUGCAGUUAAAAAGCUCGUAGUUGAAUUUCGGAAUCAAUGGAUCGGUCAUGCCACUCGGUGUGUACUGGUUUGAUUGGUUCUCACCUUCUAAGGAACCGUGAUGUCAUUAAUUUGGUGUCGCGGGGAAUUAGGACUGUUACCUUGAAAAAUUAGAGUGUUUAAAGCAAGCUCACGCUUGAAUACAUUAGCAUGGAAUAAUGAAAUAGGACAUUGUAUUCUAUUUUGUUGGUUUCUAGGAUCGAUGUAAUGAUUAAUAGGGAUAGUUGGGGGCAUUAGUAUUCAAUUGUCAGAGGUGAAAUUCUUGGAUUUAUUGAAGACUAACUACUGCGAAAGCAUUUGCCAAGGAUGUUUUCAUUAAUCAAGAACGAAAGUUAGGGGAUCGAAGACGAUCAGAUACCGUCGUAGUCUUAACCAUAAACUAUGCCGACUAGGGAUCGGAUGAUGUUAAUUUUUAAUGACUC
rnacentral:rRNA from 1 species